GACGAACGCUGGCGGCGCGCCUAACACAUGCAAGUCGAACGGAGCUGAGAGAAGCUUGCUUUUCUUAGCUUAGUGGCGAACGGGUGAGUAACGCGUGAGUAACCUGCCCUGGAGUGGGGGACAACAGUUGGAAACGACUGCUAAUACCGCAUAAGCCCACGAUCCGGCAUCGGCUUGAGGGAAAAGGAUUUAUUCGCUUCAGGAUGGACUCGCGUCCAAUUAGCUAGUUGGUGAGGUAACGGCCCACCAAGGCGACGAUUGGUAGCCGGACUGAGAGGUUGAGCGGCCACAGUGGGACUGAGACACGGCCCAGACUCCUACGGGAGGCAGCAGUGGGGGAUAUUGCACAAUGGGGGAAACCCUGAUGCAGCGACGCCGCGUGGAGGAAGAAGGUUUUCGGAUUGUAAACUCCUGUCGUUAGGGACGAUAAUGACGGUACCUAACAAGAAAGCACCGGCUAACUACGUG
rnacentral:rRNA from 1 species